rnacentral:rRNA from 1 species
UGCCUUGAAGAUCGGAGUGCUUGCACUCUGUGAAACAAGAUACAGGCUAGCGGCGGACGGGUGAGUAACACGUGGGUAACCUGCCCAAGAGAUCGGGAUAACACCUGGAAACAGAUGCUAAUACCGGAUAACAACAGAUGAUGCCUAUCAACUGUUUAAAAGAUGGUUCUGCUAUCACUCUUGGAUGGACCUGCGGUGCAUUAGCUAGUUGGUAGGGUAACGGCCUACCAAGGCGAUGAUGCAUAGCCGAGUUGAGAGACUGAUCGGCCACAUUGGGGCUGAGACACGGCCCAAACUCCUACGGGAGGCAGCAGUAGGGAAUCUUCCACAAUGGACGCAAGUCUGAUGGAGCAACGCCGCGUGAGUGAAGAAGGGUUUCGGCUCGUAAAGCUCUGUUGUUGGUGAAGAAGGACAGGGUAGUAACUGACCUUUGUUUGACGGUAAU